CAUAAAAGUUAGUGGUAUAUAAGAAACACUUUUGUAGAUUUUUUGUAUUGUGAAAUAUUCAACUUUGCAGUAAAAUAGAAGUGAAAAUGAAUAAUUUUUUUAUUCUAUCUUUGACUGUCUGUUGCACUUAUAUAAUACCUUCUAAUGCAGACCUGACGGUUGAACAAACAGAAAUUUUUUUAAAAAAUAAUAGGGACCAAUUACGUUCUCUGGAAGUUG